rnacentral:rRNA from 1 species
AUUGAACGCUGGCGGCAUGCCUUACACAUGCAAGUCGAACGGUAACGGGCCUUCGGGUGCCGACGAGUGGCGAACGGGUGAGUAAUGUAUCGGAACGUACCUUUCAGUGGGGGAUAACGUAGCGAAAGUUACGCUAAUACCGCAUAUUCUGUGAGCAGGAAAGCAGGGGAUCGCAAGACCUUGCGCUGAUUGCGCGGCCGAUAUCAGAUUAGCUAGUUGGUGAGGUAAAGGCUCACCAAGGCGACGAUCUGUAGCGGGUCUGAGAGGAUGAUCCGGCACACUGGGACUGAGACACGGUCCAGACUCCUACGGGAGGCAGCAGUGGGGAAUUGUGGACAAUGGGGGCAACCCUGAUCCAGCCAUGCCGCGUGAGUGAAGAAGGCCUUCGGGUUGUAAAGCUCUUUCGGCCGGGAAGAAAUCGUAUGGGUUAAUACCCUGUGCGGAUGACGGUACCGGCAUAAGAAGCACCGGCUAACUACGUGCCAGCCGCCGCAGUAAAAC